UACGUAGGGUCCGAGCGUUGUCCGGAAUUAUUGGGCGUAAAGAGCUCGUAGGCGGUCUGUUGCGUCGGCUGUGAAAACCCGGGGCUCAACUCCGGGCCUGCAGUCGAUACGGGCAGACUAGAGUUCGGUAGGGGAGACUGGAAUUCCUGGCGUAGCGGUGAAAUGCGCAGAUAUCAGGAGGAACACCGGUGGCGAAGGCGGGUCUCUGGGCCGAAACUGACGCUGAGGAGCGAAAGCGUGGGGAGCAAACAGG
rnacentral:rRNA from 1 species